rnacentral:rRNA from 1 species
UCAAGCGAAUAAGCGCACACGGUGGAUGCCUUGGCGGUCAGAGGCGAUGAAGGACGUGGCAGCCUGCGAAAAGUAUCGGGGAGCUGGCAACAAGCUUUGAUCCGGUAAUGUCCGAAUGGGGAAACCCACCCGCUUGCGGGUAUCCUGCAGUGAAUACAUAGCUGCUGGAAGCGAACCUGGUGAACUGAAAUAUCUAAGUAACCAGAGGAAAAGAAAUCAACCGAGAUUCCGUAAGUAGCGACGAGCGAACGCGGACUAGCCCUUAAGCUGAUUUGGUUCUAGGAAAACGCUCUGGAAAGAGUGGCCAUAGAAGGUGAUAGCCCUGUAUCUGAAAGGGCCAUUUCAGUGAAGACGAGUAGGGCGGGGCACGUGAAACCCUGUCUGAACAUGGGGGGACCAUCCUCCAAGGCUAAAUACUACUGACCGACCGAUAGUGAACCAGUACCGUGAGGGAAAGGCGAAAAGAACCCCGGAGAGGGGAGUGAAAUAGAACCUGAAACCGUGUGCGUACAAGCAGUAGGAGCUCCGCAAGGAGUGACUGCGUACCUUUUGUAUAAUGGGUCAGCGACUUACUGUUCGUGGCAAGCUUAACCGUAUAGGGGAGGCGAAGGGAAACCGAGUCUGAUAAGGGCGCAUAGUCGCGGGCAGUAGACCCGAAACCGGGUGAUCUAGUCAUGCCCAGGGUGAAGGUGCGGUAACACGCACUGGAGGCCCGAACCCACUCCCGUUGCAAAGGUAGGGGAUGAGGUGUGAUUAGGAGUGAAAAGCUAAUCGAACCCGGAGAUAGCUGGUUCUCCUCGAAAGCUAUUUAGGUAGCGCCUCAUAUGUAUCCUCUCGGGGGUAGAGCACUGUUAUGGCUAGGGGGUCAUCGCGACUUACCAAACCAUUGCAAACUCCGAAUACCGAGACGGACUGUAUGGGAGACACACGGCGGGUGCUAACGUCCGUCGUGAAAAGGGAAACAACCCAGACCCACAGCUAAGGUCCCAAAUUCACUGCUAAGUGGAAAACCAUGUGGAAAGGCACAGACAGCCAGGAGGUUGGCUUAGAAGCAGCCACCCUUUAAAGAAAGCGUAAUAGCUCACUGGUCGAGUCGGUCUGCGGGGAAGAUUUAACGGGGCUAAGCACAGAACCGAAGCUUGGGGUGCAUAACUUUGUUAUGCGCGGUAGAGGAGCGUUCCGUAAGCCGUUGAAGGUGGAUUGAGAAGUCUGCUGGAGGUAUCGGAAGUGCGAAUGCUGACAUGAGUAACGAUAAUGCGGGUGAAAAACCCGCACGCCGAAAGCCCAAGGUUUCCUUGCGCAACGUUAAUCGGCGCAGGGUGAGUCGGCCCCUAAGGCGAGGACGAAAGUCGUAGUCGAUGGGAAGCAGGUUAAUAUUCCUGCACCUCGCGUAAGUGCGAUGGAGGGACGGAGAAGGUUAGGUGUACCAGGCGUUGGUUGUCCUGGGGAAAGGCGGUAGGUUUGGAUCUUUGGCAAAUCCGGGAUCCUUUAAGACCGAGCACCGAGACGAGCCUUUAUGGCGAAGUCACUGAUACCACGCUUCCAGGAAAAGCUCCUAAGCUUCAGCUUACGCAGACCGUACCGUAAACCGACACAGGUGGGUAGGAUGAGAAUUCUCAGGCGCUUGAGAGAACUCGGGUGAAGGAACUAGGCAACAUGGCACCGUAACUUCGGGAGAAGGUGCACCCUUUUUGGUGGCUCGUGCGAGCUAUAGCUGAAGAGGGUCGCAGUAACCAGGCCGCUGCGACUGUUUAUCAAAAACACAGCACUCUGCAAACACGAAAGUGGACGUAUAGGGUGUGACGCCUGCCCGGUGCUGGAAGGUUAAUUGAUGGGGUCAGCCGCAAGGCGAAGCUCUUGAUCGAAGCCCCAGUAAACGGCGGCCGUAACUAUAACGGUCCUAAGGUAGCGAAAUUCCUUGUCGGGUAAGUUCCGACCUGCACGAAUGGCGUAACGACAGCGGCGCUGUCUCCACCCGAGACUCAGUGAAAUUGAAAUCGCUGUGAAGAUGCAGCGUUCCCGUGGCAAGACGGAAAGACCCCGUGAACCUUUACUAUAGCUUUACACUGAACGUUGAGUUCGUCUGUGUAGGAUAGGUGGGAGGCUAUGAAACUGUGGCGCUAGCUGCAGUGGAGCCAUCCUUGAAAUACCACCCUGUCGUGCUUGACGUUCUAACCUGGGCCCAUUAUCUGGGUCGGGGACCGUGUAUGGUGGGUAGUUUGACUGGGGCGGUCUCCUCCUAAAGAGUAACGGAGGAGCUCGAAGGUACGCUCAGCGCGGUCGGACAUCGCGCACUGUGUGCAAAGGCAUAAGCGUGCUUGACUGCAAGAUCGACGGAUCAAGCAGGUAGGAAACUAGGACUUAGUGAUCCGGUGGUUCUGUAUGGAAGGGCCAUCGCUCAACGGAUAAAAGGUACUCCGGGGAUAACAGGCUGAUACCGCCCAAGAGUUCAUAUCGACGGCGGUGUUUGGCACCUCGAUGUCGGCUCAUCACAUCCUGGGGCUGUAGUCGGUCCCAAGGGUAUGGCUGUUCGCCAUUUAAAGUGGUACGCGAGCUGGGUUCAGAACGUCGUGAGACAGUUCGGUCCCUAUCUGCCAUGGGCGUUGGAGAUUUGAGAGGGGCUGCUCCUAGUACGAGAGGACCGGAGUGGACGAACCUCUGGUGUUCCGGUUGUCACGCCAGUGGCAUUGCCGGGUAGCUAUGUUCGGAAGCGAUAACCGCUGAAAGCAUCUAAGCGGGAAGCGCGCCUCAAGAUGAGAUCUCCCGGGGCACAAGCCCCCUGAAGGAACCAUGUAGACUACGUGGUUGAUAGGUCAGGUGUGUAAGUACAGCAAUGUAUUGAGCUAACUGAUACUAAUGAUCCGAGAGGCUUGACCAU